rnacentral:lncRNA from 1 species
ACAUGCUGCAUUUAUUAAACAUAUCCUAUAGGCAUGAUUUCUAUAUAUGGAAGUAAAACAUGUAGAAUUCAUUAAACAGAUCCUAUAGGUGUGUUAUCUACCCUUUCUAAUAACGUAAAACAUGCAUAAUUACCCCCAUCCCUUUUCGCUAGCCAACCCCAAUGUUGUUUAUAAAUUAUUACACACCAAAUACCUAAAUUACAAAAGAAGUGCAGAAAUAAGAAAUUACAACCGAAAGAAGCCUGAUCUUUG